CAAGAUUCUGUACUUCUAUGAAGCCCUGUGUUCUGUCCAGGUGUCAUUUACUCUCAGGUGUGCUCUAUCAGAAGGCUUCCCCUUUCUGUUGGACAGAGUCCUGGAAAAAGAAAUGAGCCCUGCUGAGAAAGAUGCUCCACUAGGAGAAAGGAGUCACCUUUUUCAGGGGCAUGAUCCCCAGAAGCAUGAGAAAUCCAGAUGCCAUUGUUUUACACAGGAUGUUGGAGUUUCUUUUCUCUUUAUCCGGGACCUUGGCAUCGGUGUUCUGUAAUGCCCAUAACUGAUUUUGAGAAAUAAAAGAAAAUCUUCUGAAACUUGACAAAAGGAAACAACAAAAAUUACAGACUGGAAAAGCCUGGCUGACUGGAGUGAUGUCCUGUCUCAAGAAGGAACAAACAAACACAAAAACAAGCAAAGGAUUCUGAAAGCAGAGAAUCAAACAGAUAUUUGUACACCGUUCUUCCUUCUUCCUACUAGCACUCUUCAUAGUAGGAAAAGGCAAAAACAACCCAAAUGUGUCACGAAUUACUUCAUCAGUUUUUUAGGAUCUGAAAUACUGCCACAAUUUUCAAUUACUCAUUGUGGGGUGGCCAUGCAGUUACCACAUUUGGUCCAAAAUUUUAUGCUGAUGAAGGUAGACCUGUCCUGCAUUUUCAGAGGGACAGAAUUCUGGUGUUUCUCCAGGUUCAUUGGCUUACCAGGAAUGAAGAUCCGGGAAGAAUGUAUGUGUGUGUGUAUGUAUGUAUGUA